CGUCUCAUUACGCACUUUUUUUUCGGAAAAGGUGUAAUGAACGUUGAGACGGGUAGGAAGGUCGCGACAGUGUUGCUUUGAAGAGUUUUGAGCGUGAGCUCGCUCGGAGCCGCUGUUGGUGCAGAUCUUGGUGGUAGUAGCAAAUAUUCAAGUGAGAACCUUGAAGGCUGAAGUGGAGCAAGGUUCCAUGUGAACAGCAGUUGGACAUGGGUCAGUCGAUCCUAAGAAAACGGCGAAAGCUUGUUCGAAUUUGCGACAUGAAUUGUAAGACUGUGUGUUUAUUGUGUGUGUGCAGUUGUCGUAUGUUUUCGAAAGGGAAUCCGGUUGAUAUUCCGGAACCGAGUAACGGAGACAAAGAGUAGCGCUUUAAUCUCUCUGUGGGGUUGGCGUUCAACUCAAUCGCGCGGUAACGCAAGCGAACUCGGAAAAUGACCGUCGUGAGUUUCGAAAAGAGUUUUCUUUUCUUUUUAAGGGACGCAUUCCCUGGAACCGGGUUGUCCGGAGAUAGGGAUUC
rnacentral:rRNA from 1 species